UGUGGUUUAAUUCGAUGCAACGCGAAGAACUUACCUGGUCUUGACAUCCCGGAGACCCUUAGGAAACUAGGGGGUGCUUCCAUCUGGAAGAAUCUGGAGACAGGUGCUGCAUGGCUGUCGUCAGCUCGUGUCGUGAGAUGUUGGGUUAAGUCCCGCAACGAGCGCAGCCCUUGCCUUUAGUUGCCAGCAGUUCGGCUGGGCACUCUAAAGGGACUGCCGGUGUUAAACCGGAGGAAGGUGGGGAUGACGUCAAGUCCUCAUGGCCUUUAUGACCAGGGCUACACACGUACUACAAUGGCCGAUACAAAGGGCAGCGACACUGCGGGGUGAAGCCAAUCCCGUAAAAUCGGUCUCAGUCCGGAUUGGAGUCUGCAACUCGACUCCAUGAAGUUGGAAUCGCUAGUAAUCGUGGAUCAGCAUGCCACGGUGAAUACGUUCCCGGGCCUU
rnacentral:rRNA from 1 species